CCCUUAGAUGUUCUGGGCCGCACGCGCGCUACACUGAUUCAUGCAACAAGUUUGGUCCUUGGCUGAUAGGCCUGGGUAAUCUUUGAACGUGAAUCGUGAUGGGGAUAGAUGAUUGCAAUUAUUCAUCUUCAACGAGGAAUUCCUAGUAAACGCAAGUCAUCAGCUUGCAUUGAUUACGUCCCUGCCCUUUGUACACACCGCCCGUCGCACCUACCGAUUGAAUGGUCCGGUGAAAUCUUCGGAUCUGAGAGAUGUCUGAUUAAUUUCGGACGCCUUUUGGAAAAGUUGCUUAAACCUUACCAUUUAGAGGAAGGUGAANUCGUANCA
rnacentral:rRNA from 1 species